AGCCCGGUGGUGUAGUGGCCAAGCAUAUGAGGCUCUGGACCUCAUGACCAAGGUUCGAAUCCUUGCCGGGCUA
rnacentral:tRNA from 1 species